rnacentral:rRNA from 1 species
AACGAACGCUGGCGGCAUGCCUAACACAUGCAAGUCGAACGAGACCUUCGGGUCUAGUGGCGCACGUGUGCGUAACGCGUGGGAACCUGCCCGUAGGUUCCGAAUAACUCCCCGAAAGGGGUGCUAAUACCGGUUAAUGUCUUCGGACCAAAGAUUUAUCGCCUUUGGAUGGGCCCGCGUUGGAUUAGCUAGUUGGUAGGGUAAAAGCCUACCAAGGCGAGGAUCCAGAGCUGGUCGGAGAGGAUGAUCAGCCACACUGGGACUGAGACACGGCCCAGACUCCUACGGGAGGGAGCAGUGGGGAAUAUUAGACACUGGGCGAAAGCCUGAUCCAGCAAUGCGGGGUGAGUGAUGAAGGCCUUAGGGUUGUAAAGCUCUUUUACCCGGGAUGAGAAUGACGGUACCGGGAGAAUAAGCACCGGCUAACUACGUG